GCGUGAUUGGAGAGUCACAAAUGGAAAGAAAUACUAUAAUCAGUGGAGAGAAGAUGUGCACAGCUAUACAAGUGUAUGGUUCUGUGACAUACCACGAGGUGGGGGUGGACCUUUAUGACAUCUUCUCCCAGCAACCCCACAUAUUUCCCUUGCCCUCAGUGGGUCAGGAGUCUCCUGCUUGGCCUCAUCUUCGAAUCUGAAGCCUCUGAGUUCUGAAUAGUUCAGCCCCCUACUUUUUUAGAUGCCUCUGUGGCAAACCUUUGUUAUCUGACUUUUCUUUUAUUUGACAGAGCCUCGCUCUGUCGCCCAGGUUGGAGUGCAGUGGUGUGAUCUCGGCUGACUGCAAGUCCCGCCUCCUGGGUUCACGCCAUUCUCCUGCCUCAGCCUCCUGAGUAGCUGGGGACUACAGGCGCCUGCUACCACGCCCAGCUAAUUUUUUGUACUUUUAGUAGAGACGGGGUUUCACCGUGUUAGCCAGGAUUGUCUGGAUCUCCUGACCUCGUAAUCCACCCACCUGGCCUCCCAAAGUGCUAGGAUUACAGGUGUGAGCCACGGCGCCCUGAGGACUGGCAGACCCAUCUGACUUUCUUGGAGUAGAGGAGGAAGAGGAGGAAGAAGAGGUGCAGGAGGAAGACCAGUGUUGAUUGAGCCAGCGGGAAGCAGAAUCUCUGGAGGGCCAUGCAGAGCCUUGGGGACUGACCAAGUUCCCCCACUGAGGGGUCCCAGGCUGGACCGACAGGAGAGCCUGGGAGGAGUUCUGACCCUGGAGAGGAGGUUGGCCCAGCCAGGGAGACAUGUCCUGCUUCAGAGAGGCCUUUCUAAAAACAAAACCCAUCCCUGAGGUUAUACGGGUCCCCAUCCAUCUCCAUCCUGCAAGACAAAGUCAUCCCAAGGCUCUCCCGCACCCAAGAGCUCCAGAGAACAGCCAAACCACACGCACUGCACUCCCAGACACACUCCAGUCUGGUGAGCCCCAUUCCACUACCCCUCCCAGAUGACAGGGGCCAGACUCAGUGGUCCCACCCCUGACUAGAUCUCUGAAGUCCUUGCCUCCAACCAGUGGUGGGCUCCUUCCUGAGGAUUUGAGCACACGGGAACCUGGACAGAGAGGCCUAUUGUCCCUGAACACCCCAAGGCAGACACACACCUGCCCUGGCAGGACAAACGGCGUCCACUUGCUGAGGGUGAAGUCCCCACGAUGGGCUGUUCUGGGC
rnacentral:lncRNA from 10 species